GUGUUCAUUUUGGCAGCACAUAUACUAAAAUUGGAACAAUACAGAGAAGAUUAGCAUGGCACUUCCUCAAGGAUGACAUGCCAAUUUGUGAAGCAUUCCAUAUUUUU